AAUCAAAAAUGGCGACUGAGUUGAACAGGAGAACCAGGACACUCCAAAAAGGGCAGGUGGCUGCUGGGAAGCUACUCCAGGAA